CUAGCUGCUACUUAUAGUUAGCUAUAGAUAUCACUGUUGAAUUUCUUGGGAAGAAAAAAUGAAGGACAUCAUCCCCAUGGAUAAAAAAUUCUUUAAGAUAGUGUUUAGCAAGCAGCUCACGGCAACAGAUCUUGAGCAUCAGUUGAUUGUUCCAAGCGAUGUCCUCAAGAAAUAUCCAAUUCUUCGUCAAAAUGAGUUUGUGAUCAUUUCAUUCGAUCAGAAUGAAAAGCAAUGGGAAUUUCCCCUAGCCACCCGCAAGACUGGUAAAUAUGCCAAGCCAACAAUGCCUGCAGGCUCGUGGCAUCCAUUCGUACAAGAGUUUGGCCUUCGUGCUGGUGACGCGGUGGUCUUCUACAUAAGCAAAUGCGAUGAAGCUGGUAAGAUACAAGUUCGAGGCAUGAGACAAACUAUCUCACUUAUGGGUACUGAGGUUUGGAAUGAGGUGGAAAAGGUUGACAACCAGGCUUGAACAUCUCAAGCAAGGGGACCUGCCUAGCUUCAGUCUUGAGGCCUUUAUGACGGUAGCUAGCUCCUAAGGGAUCAUUAUCUAUUUCUGCGUCUUAGUUUAGGCGUUUGGUUAUGCAUACAUGCUAUGGUGUGUGUUUUUUUCUUCUCUUAGUAUUGAGAGUCGAUAGGUAAGGGUUAUAAUCGUUGGUGUCCACUCUAGAACAGAUUUUCUGGCGUCUUUCACUUUUCUUUUUCGAUUUACAAAGAACGGUCAUACUUUAACAACCUGUGUUUUGGCUGUUGGAAAUAGAUUUAUCUAAGUGUGUUUUAAUGUGG
rnacentral:misc_RNA from 1 species